GAUGAACGCUGGCGGCGUGCCUAAUACAUGCAAGUCGAGCGAACGGACGAGAAGCUUGCUUCUCUGAUGUUAGCGGCGGACGGGUGAGUAACACGUGGAUAACCUACCUAUAAGACUGGGAUAACUUCGGGAAACCGGAGCUAAUACCGGAUAAUAUUUUGAACCGCAUGGUUCAAAGGUGAAAGACGGUCUUGCUGUCACUUAUAGAUGGAUCCGCGCUGCAUUAGCUAGUUGGUAAGGUAACGGCUUACCAAGGCAACGAUGCAUAGCCGACCUGAGAGGGUGAUCGGCCACACUGGAACUGAGACACGGUCCAGACUCCUACGGGAGGCAGCAGUAGGGAAUCUUCCGCAAUGGGCGAAAGCCUGACGGAGCAACGCCGCGUGAGUGAUGAAGGUCUUCGGAUCGUAAAACUCUGUUAUUAGGGAAGAACAUAUGUGUAAGUAACUGUGCACAUCUUGACGGUACCUAAUCAGAAAGCCACGGCUAACUACGUGCCAGCAGCCGCGGUAAUACGUAGGUGGCAAGCGUUAUCCGGAAUUAUUGGGCGUAAAGCGCGCGUAGGCGGUUUUUUAAGUCUGAUGUGAAAGCCCACGGCUCAACCGUGGAGGGUCAUUGGAAACUGGAAAACUUGAGUGCAGAAGAGGAAAGUGGAAUUCCAUGUGUAGCGGUGAAAUGCGCAGAGAUAUGGAGGAACACCAGUGGCGAAGGCGACUUUCUGGUCUGUAACUGACGCUGAUGUGCGAAAGCGUGGGGAUCAAACAGGAUUAGAUACCCUGGUAGUCCACGCCGUAAACGAUGAGUGCUAAGUGUUAGGGGGUUUCCGCCCCUUAGUGCUGCAGCUAACGCAUUAAGCACUCCGCCUGGGGAGUACGACCGCAAGGUUGAAACUCAAAGGAAUUGACGGGGACCCGCACAAGCGGUGGAGCAUGUGGUUUAAUUCGAAGCAACGCGAAGAACCUUACCAAAUCUUGACAUCCUUUGACAACUCUAGAGAUAGAGCCUUCCCCUUCGGGGGACAAAGUGACAGGUGGUGCAUGGUUGUCGUCAGCUCGUGUCGUGAGAUGUUGGGUUAAGUCCCGCAACGAGCGCAACCCUUAAGCUUAGUUGCCAUCAUUAAGUUGGGCACUCUAAGUUGACUGCCGGUGACAAACCGGAGGAAGGUGGGGAUGACGUCAAAUCAUCAUGCCCCUUAUGAUUUGGGCUACACACGUGCUACAAUGGACAAUACAAAGGGCAGCGAAACCGCGAGGUCAAGCAAAUCCCAUAAAGUUGUUCUCAGUUCGGAUUGCAGUCUGCAACUCGACUACAUGAAGCUGGAAUCGCUAGUAAUCGUAGAUCAGCAUGCUACGGUGAAUACGUUCCCGGGUCU
rnacentral:rRNA from 1 species